UACGUAGGCGGCGAGCGUUGUCCGGAUUUACUGGGCGUAAAGAGCGCGCAGGCGGUCGUUCAAGUCGAGUGUGAAAGCCCCCGGCUCAACUGGGGAGGGUCACUCGAUACUGAUCGACUUGAAGGCAGGAGAGGGAAGCGGAAUUCCCGGUGUAGUGGUGAAAUGCGUAGAUAUCGGGAGGAACACCAGUGGCGAAGGCGGCUUCCUGGCCUGUUCUUGACGCUGAGGCGCGAAAGCUAGGGGAGCAAACGGG
rnacentral:rRNA from 1 species